rnacentral:rRNA from 1 species
AGUGAACGCUGGCGGUAGGCCUAACACAUGCAAGUCGAACGGCAGCACAGUAAGAGCUUGCUCUUACGGGUGGCGAGUGGCGGACGGGUGAGGAAUACAUCGGAAUCUACUUUUUCGUGGGGGAUAACGUAGGGAAACUUACGCUAAUACCGCAUACGACCUACGGGUGAAAGCAGGGGAUCUUCGGACCUUGCGCGAUUGAAUGAGCCGAUGUCGGAUUAGCUAGUUGGCGGGGUAAAGGCCCACCAAGGCGACGAUCCGUAGCUGGUCUGAGAGGAUGAUCAGCCGCACUGGAACGGAGACACGGUCCAGACUCCUACGGGAGGCAGCAGUGGGGAAUAUUGGACAAUGGGCGCAAGCCUGAUCCAGCCAUACCGCGUGGGUGAAGAAGGCCUUCGGGUUGUAAAGCCCUUUUGUUGGGAGAGAAAAGCAGCAGGUUAAGACCCCGCUGUUCUGACGGUACCCAAAGAAUAAGCACCGGCUAACUUCGUG